UCUUUGCUUUCUUUCUUCCCUUUGUUCGCCAGGUAGAAAUUCUGACAAAGACACAAAAGUUCAUGUUCAUUAUGAAGCUGACAAUACAAGCAACUAGAUUGCUACAAACUCACUCAAUAGUUACUGAGUCUUUCAAUACUGAGUACCAACCAGCAGGUGCAAGAGACAGAUGCUUACAGACUCUUCUAACAGUGAAGAAACUGUUCAAAAAUCUAGAAGAAAUCUGAAGAAGUGAUCACCAUGAUAUCUUGGCACAUGUGCUCCAGCCUACUGAAAAUAAAGCCUGCAUUCCUCUGUUUCUGUGACACUGCAGCUGCCCUCAGAGGACCCAGUGCCUGCCUGCCCCACAAAAGAGGGACCACAGUGCCUCAAGGACAUGCUCACCCAUAAGAACAAAUUCUCCCACUGUUAAACAGCAAUGGAUGCAGAUGGACCAGUCUGAAUCCACCUGCAUUGUAUGGACAAAAGGACAGCACUUGGACUUAUGUGCAAAUUCUGACAAGUGGGAAGGAUGCUAGGACUUGUGUGCUGGAGCAUGUGCAGUGGCUUUGCUCCACAGCAAGCAGGGCCAGACAAGCAGAGCUGGCUGCCUGCAGACUGUAAGGCAGCGAAGGAAGCAGGCAGAUCAAGGAUGGAAGUAGCAUUUGGAUCCAUGGCCUAGAGGCCAGAAUAGUUACACUCAGAGUUCUUGUGGUUUACAGUUUUUCAAUUUAUCUGACUUUUCAUCUCUUUUUUUUCAUUUCUCAAGACUAUGAGAAAGUGACAAUAUGUUUACAUGCCUAGAACUCUUCAACACCUAAACUGCAACAUAAAUGUAAACAUUACCAAAAUACAAGUGAGAAGUGUGUAAAUAAAGGAACAGGCUGUUGCCAUAGUAUAAGAAAGAAACAAACAAGCAGCAAAUCUGCCCUGCCAGUAGACCACAUUUACAGCUGUGCAAGUUAUCUGAAGUGAAACACUGCUCUUCCACACAACCACAUCUUCUUUUCCAAGCAGUGCUGUGAACAGAUGUCUGCCAGAAUGCAAGCCUCAGAGCAGACCGUUUUUGGAGGGGCACCAGGAGAGGAAGCAGAAGAGAUCUGGAUCUCAAAACCAGUUCUUUAAAAACUGUUUUCUUAGAAGUUCACUUUAAGUCAGGGGAGCUCAGAAACACAGACACCUGAAUGUGGCCUAUGCUGAUGCCAUGUCUGUAGUGUGAGAAACUUUAACAUUCAAUGCAAUAGACAGUUAUCCUAGGAAAUGCAGCUGGCUUCAGACUGCCUGGACAGAAUUUUAGUCUAAAGCUGUAGGUAAGCAAACACUCAGGACCACAGCUUCACAGUCACAUCUAAAGACAAUAUUCAGAGUGGAAAAAAGCCAAAAUCAGCUCAAAACAAAAUCCACUUAAAAGUUCUGAGCAGCUGCAGCCCAGUGAUCUGCGCAUGUGCAACAGCUCUUCUUGACAGGCAGCACCACUGCAGCCCUGAAGCCUCAGAGGGCACUGCUAGGCUGGGUUGGGCCUCCAGACCUUGGGAUGGAUUUGGAAAGUACAGGGACAUGCAAGCUGUAAGCCUUCUUCUCUAGAUCAUUAUAAAGACAUAGUACAACCACUAAAAUACACAAUGAGGAUUUAUAAAGGUAAGUACACUGUCUCAACAAGGCUUGGCUCAUCAACUUUACCACUGGUGGGGAGAGCAUCCAUCUGACUUAGUCAGCCUUCUGUGGAUUGAUAAUACAAAAACUAAGCUCCUCUGACUGCAACUGAUUCACAUUCAGGCAUCUGGCAUUUAUUUAGCAGAAUAUUUAGACCACCCUGUACUGAAAUAAUCAAUCCUAAAGAGAGAAAGUUUGUAAGGAUAUCCAUGCUGCAUCUCUAUUGCCACAGCUUUUUCAUUACGGCCUCUGUCACCUAACCCAAUGUUACACAGAUGUACACUGUUGUCUUUCACCUGUCAACACACACUUCAUUUAUUACUGAUUACCUCCUUUAUGACUCUUUCCUGAAAUCUGGAAGGACAUAUAUACAUAUUUGUCAGUGGCUAAAAAACUGGGGAGCAGACUGAAGACUGUACUUGUUUCAUUACUGUGUGGUCUUCUAUUUUUGAUCAGAAGCAUUCAUCCUAGAGGAGGCAAACCACAUGUGUCCAGAAGAGGUCAUUUCAAGUCCAGUAGUCAAAGGUCAUGAAAAAAAGGCAAGCUCUUUCCUGUGCGAGGACACCACUGGGAAAUGCAUGCCUGGUUUGGAAUGUCAGGUCAUUCAUGGGACAAGAUGUAGUUGCAGGGCAACUUCCUACAUAUAUCUACAGAUCUGAGAAUUAACUAUUUCUUGUAUUCAAAAGAUAAGGCUAUGCAUACAACCUUUCCACUUAGGGACAUACCCUUCUCCUUUUGUGUGGAAAGCCAGGCAAAAAAAUAAUCAGGGUGUAUCUUCCCUGCACUGUAUAAUGCUCAAACAGUGGAAGAUAGAAAGUGUUUUCAGUAGUGUCCAAGAACAUCUGUGUUGGCACGUAAGCAAAGCAAACCUGGAUCAUGAUAAAACUUCACACCAAUUAGAAAGCUUUAUAGUGCAGUACUUAACUACUGCACUAUCAAACUUUCUGAUUGGUGCUUAUGCCUCUAUACUCAAAAUUGAAUUUCCUAAAUGAAAUAGCACCUCUCUCACACCUUGUGGUUGCCACUUUUUUCAUUCACAGACCCAUUCAGGUGGGAAUGCAGCAGUAACUACUUGCUGCAUGGCAAAAAUCAGGUGCUCCAAGACAGCAUGCUCCCUCUGCCUCCUCUUACACUUAGGCUGUAUUUUUGCUUUCAAGCUCUUGAGAAUGAUUUUCCAGAAGAUCUGAAAAAUCCGCAACAGCACAGAUCAAACAGUGUGCAUAAAACAAGGCAGCUGCUUCAUACUCAUGACUAGCUUCUUUGAGCAAUGGGCUGCCUGCUUAUGCUCAUCCAAACUACACCCAGUAUGAGGCAAGAGCUGGCCAGCUCACAUCCCAUUUCAGAUCAUUGCAACUGCUACUCAAUGCAGCAUGGUUUGUGCAGAAAAAAUAGAACAAGGUCAUAUCUGCAACUCAUAUCAUGGUGUGUCCCCUAGGAAACUGCACAUUAAAAAUAUUAGAAGAUGCCUAUAAUUCCUCUGAAGAUCAUAAAAAUAAUAAAAUACAUGAAGCUAAAGGCGAAGCUAUUUUGAAACCCCCAAAAGAGAGAGAAAUUAAGAUUACAAAACAAUGGGAGUACAGUGAAAAACACCUCCUUUUUCUCACUUCUAUUUCUUUGCACUUUUGCAGCAUACUCAAUAACCAGGUUCCUUUUAAUCUUUUUAUGUUUCCACCACUGGCUAACAGCGGAGACAAAAGGAAAACCUUGAUUCAUAAAUGUGGCCAAGCUGGUGAAAAACAAAAGUACCACCUGGUGGAUAGUAGAUAAAUAUUCAAGCAUGAAACUUGCCAUAGCUUCUUGUAACGAAAGACAUUACAAAUCCUUACUCCACCUCCUUCUGAAUGCUGCUGAGAACUCUUGCUCUUCAGAAGAAAUAAAAUAUCAAUUCAGUGUAUGGGUUCUCCAUUGGAAGGUGUAGAUUUAGGCUUUUGGCUUACGUAUGAGGGAGCAGAAGCAUAAAGUACUCACUGUACAGACUUUCAAUAAUUGCCAUAAAUACUGUCCAAAAGUAAGAAAACAAACAAACAAACAAAAGCACAUGUAGGUGGCGUUGCCUGCACUCUUUGAUUUUAUCAAAAGAAAAACACAAGAAAUGGAAGUUCAUGCAAACAGAAGUAAAAGACAGUGUUCAAAGUGCGUGACCAGCAUUUACAGCAAGGAGUUUAGAUUCAGCUACACCUUAAAACCAACCAUUUUCCUUCAUUUUUCUUCCUUUUAUAGUAUCUUUUAGCUGAGAAUUAUUCUUUGAGUUUUUAAAAAGAGGUGUUGAGACCUGACAACCUUUCCUUUCAAGAGAAAACCAGCAUCACUCAACCACAUGACAAAGCAUCACCUUUCCAAUGUUGUAAAGGUUCUCUUUAUUUUCCCAUGUAUCAGUAUGUAUUUUUGCUUCACUCUUUAGUCACAGACUUGUGAUGCUCCCUCUCUGCAGAUGAGUCACUGAUGGCAUUCAUGGAACAGUCUUUUACUGCAAAUUCCCUACAGGGUCUAUUAUAUCACAGUGAGCAGAGGGCAAAAGUGUGCCUGUUUUUGUGGCAAGGGGGCACCUGAGAAUUUUUUAGAAGCUUUUUCUAAAAGGUAUUCCAAACACUUUAAAAAAAUAUUUCAGAAACAAAGCUGCAGAAGAACUACCAAGUGCUGCAUGACAAAAAUUACAAUCUUUGAAAAAAAAGCCACGGGCAUUAACUGAGCAACAUAUUACCAGUAUGUAGAGAAUAAAUCCUGCAUUUCAGAACCUCAAUUCCCCAUCAGAAAAUGAAACACUUUUAAUUAACUGUUGUUAAAUAGGUCUAUAACUAAUUCACAGAAAGAAACAAUAAACAUUGGCACAGGUCACAGACCUCCUUCAGAGGUCCACUUGUUUUAGGAAGGCAUCUGCCCAUCUUUAUAAGAUAUUUUUAAAGCACUAAUUGUGUCCAAUCUUUGUGAUGAAAAUUUUGUAUCACUAAUUUGUCUAAGAAUAAACUGUAGGCACCCGGCCACCA